CAGGGCCCCUCGGCUUUGGUCGCUCAGGCUGUCCCCAGCCUGGUGCCACCUCUGUCCCACCCUCCCCAAAGGGAGGAGGGGGCUGGCAGCCGGCAGAGCGCCGAGGGAGAGGCGGCAAGGCGGGAGUGCGGGAGGCAGAGCCCGGGCUCGGCCGGCUGGUGAGAGCUGAGAGAAAUUCCCUUUGGUUGAGAGUGGGAAAAGUGACAGCUGCUUAAACCCUGCCAGCAUACAGACCCAACACGGGGAGAUGACCCACUGAAGUGUGGUCUUGAAAAAGAGCGCUUGGGCUGUCAUGAUUCCCAUUCCACCCCAUUUCGGUCUCACGGAUUGAUAUUUAGAUUAAAGAGAUAAACACAGCCAAAGAGCACUGGGCCCUGACAGAAAGAUGAGGACUUCAGAUCUGUCAAUCAUGCCUGGCCCUCUUCAAAUACUGGACGAGAGAGAGGAAGAUGGUUAAUGGUCACUCCUAAGUCACAUUGAAAACCAUGGCCGUCCCACAGAGCCCAGGGGUGCAACCUUACCGAAAAUUCAUAGCGAGGAAUGGUCUCGAAGUCCAGCGGCACUGCCACGCGGACACGGAUGUCUGCCUUCCCCUGGAUGGAGGUCGGCGAGAUGAUGAAGUGGUUGGAGUUGUUGCCCACCAGAUAUUCCAAGAAUCAGCUCUCCUCUGCUUCUUAUCAGUGAAAAUAAUGCCAUGGUCAAAGCAAUCUGUGCUAAUAUGAUGGUCUCUGAAGACGUGUACAGUAAAACUCCUUCAGACUCCCUCAGCACAAGAGAUCCUCUCUCAGCAGUUUUAAAAAUCUCAGCCAAUUCUUUUGGGGAAAUCUCAGGAAGUUAAAGAAAUACAUCAAAAGAACAGCAUCUAUUUUUUGCUGGUGCGAUGUGGAAGGCAAGGCUAUUUUUUAUUCUCCCAUUUUAAAAUUAGCAAGGCUGAAAAGUGAAUUCUUGAAUGGGAGUCACUCCAAUAAAAUGAGCUUUUAACCAGAAAUAAUGACAGAUCCUUCAUCCUGGUGGCACAAACAGAAGUGUUACAAUGCCCUUCAAGAAUGGAUCUGCUGACAUCUCUCAUAAAGCAUGACAGCAUCUCUAUUCAGAAACUAUCCUAAGCAUCUGUCAUAUUCAUAUCUUCUUUAUUAGCAAUUGACAUUUUCAAGAAAAAACAGUCUCUUUAUCUGCUUAAUAGCUCAUCUGCACCUCUUCAGGCUGAACUCAUAACUCCUGUAUGGUGACAUCAUGUCACCAGUAGAUUAUUAGUUCUGUGUCAUAAUCACUUCAGAUGAAAAAAAAUGGGAUUUCUGGGUGGCUUGAUGAGACGGGGUGAACUCCACCCCGGGCUAGGAAACAGCAAGUAUAUCUUCUGAGUCACAAAAGGCAUCUGAAAAGAUGCACAUUUUAACUGACCCACUGGGAUUUUGGGGGCCAGGGGAGGAUGUUUUGUUUCCCAUUACCUGAAGCAUCAGGAAAACACCCUGAUGAUGUUUUGCCAUGAUGCUGGAUGGAGCUCUGAACCACCUGGUCUAAUGGAAGGUGUCCCUGCCUGUGGCAGGGGGGUUGGAACGAGAUGAUCUUUCAGGUCCUUUCCAACCCAAACCAUUCUACGAUGCCAUUUAUUCUGACAAAUCCUCUCCCCUCAUCUCCUGCUCAGCCUGAAGAAGAAUGGGAACAGCAGGAGCCUGCAGGCAGAGCCUUUCCAAGGGAUUUUGGACAGCUCACCAUGAGGUGUCAGCACUGGUUUGGAGCAGACACCCGGCAGCAUGGCAGGGCUCGGGGGGGACCAGCACACAGGAGCAGCCAGACGUGAACUGCACAAGUCAAAUAAUCAGAGUAAUUGAAGGCUGGGAGCCCAAGGCUGGAAAACAGGCUGCAAUCCCUAACACGGCACGGAUCGGUGCGUGACAAAUAGGAGCUCCACUGACACGUGGGAGGAACAAGCCUCCAACGCUCCUGGCUUGUUUGCAGUGAUGAACUGGUAUCCCAGUCCUCCCCAUGCUGAUGGGCAUCCCUUACCUCCUCUGUGACAGCAGCAGCACCUCUCCCUCAGCAGCCGGGGCAGAGAGCUUGGGGCUCCUGUCUUCCCUGUCCCUGGCAGGUCCCCUGGGGGCCCAGAAGAAAAACUCCUUUGCUAGACCAGACUGGCAAUGCACUGCCUGAGAAGAGCCCUCAGAAGCAGGCGGGGAUCAGCCUCCCAGACAAUCCUAUUUUCUGGCUCUCAGGGGCUGUAUAGUCCUGGCUGCAUUAGAGCUUGUGCCAUGCCUGCACCCUGGGGAGGGAAACUGGACUUGGGGUACACAAGCAAACAGAGCAAUGGCAGCAGUAAGAACUGAAAAAGUGGAUGUUGGGACAGAACCAUGCACUUCAUCACAGGUUCCUCGGCGACUUCUCCCCUGCACAGCCCAAAACCAAACCAGUGCUAGCCCGCAAAGGAGGGACAGGAUACCUCACCUCAUC